ACAAAAGCAGCUCAACUUGAAGCAGGUGAUUUAGUGAUCAGAACAAAACAAGAUUAACUAGGAAAAACUUCCAUAAAGAGAUGCUAUGCUGUACAGAGUAACAUAUCCUUUUCAUGAUUAUGUUAACAAGGAAAAACUUCCAUAAACAGAUGCUGUACAGAGUAACAUAUCCUUUUCAUGCUGAUUUUCUUAACAAGG